GACGAACGCUGGCGGCGUGCUUAACACAUGCAAGUCGAACGGAAAGGCCCUGCUUUUGUGGGGUGCUCGAGUGGCGAACGGGUGAGUAACACGUGAGUAACCUGCCCUUGACUUUGGGAUAACUUCAGGAAACUGGGGCUAAUACCGGAUAGGAGCUCCUGCUGCAUGGUGGGGGUUGGAAAGUUUCGGCGGUUGGGGAUGGACUCGCGGCUUAUCAGCUUGUUGGUGGGGUAGUGGCUUACCAAGGCUUUGACGGGUAGCCGGCCUGAUAGGGGGACCGGCCACAUUGGGACUGGGAUACGGCCCAGACUCCUACGGGAGGCAGCAGUGGGGAAUAUUGCACAAUGGGCGGACGCCUGAUGCAGCAACGCCGCGUGCGGGAUGACGGCCUUCGGGUUGUAAACCGCUUUCGCCUGUGACGAAGCGUGAGUGACGGUAAUGGGUAAAGAAGCACCGGCUAACUACGUG
rnacentral:rRNA from 1 species